rnacentral:rRNA from 1 species
AGAAUCAACGCUGGCGGCGUGCCUAACACAUGCAAGUCGCACGAGAAAGGGGAGCAAUCCCUGAGUAAAGUGGCGCACGGGUGAGUAACACGUGAAUGAUCUACCUCCGAGUGGGGAAUAACUGAGAGAAAUCUUAACUAAUACCGCAUAACACUUACGAGUCAAAGCAGCAAUGCGCUUGGAGAGGAGUUCGCGGCCGAUUAGUUAGUUGGCGGGGUAAUGGCCCACCAAGACGAUGAUCGGUA